GAUGAAGAACGCAGCGAAAUGCGAUAAGUAAUGUGAAUUGCAGAAUUCAGUGAAUCAUCGAAUCUUUGAACGCACAUUGCGCCCGCCAGUAUUCUGGCGGGCAUGCCUGUCUGAGCGUCAUUUCAACCCUCAUGCCCCUAGGGCGUGGUGUUGGGGAUCGGCCAAAGCCCGCGAGGGACGGCCGGCCCCUAAAUCUAGUGGCGGACCCGUCGUGGCCUCCUCUGCGAAGUAGUGAUAUUCCGCAUCGGAGAGCGAUGAGCCCCUGCCGUUAAACCCCCAACUUUACAAGGUUGACCUCAGAUCAGGUAGGAAUACCCGCUGAACUUAAGCAUAUCAAUAAGCGGAGGA
rnacentral:misc_RNA from 1 species